rnacentral:lncRNA from 1 species
UCCCCCCUUCCUCCCCCGGCUUCGUCGACAUCCAUCAGGGAGUGCUCCACUGGAGUGCGGCGGGCCCGACGAUUGUCCUCAUAAAUUGUGAGUGUGUCGGGGGUGCGCGGGGGCUAAGUGAGCAGUAAAUAACAAAAGGGUCCCGCCGCCAUCCGCUCGCCAUCCUCACGUUUCCGGCCACGCAAGAUUACCCAGGAUGCCCCUGGAGGGGUGUCUUCUUCCUGUGUGUGAUGAAUGGACAAGGGGAUAGAGAACACGCCUUCGCCGCCCGGCGCCUGCCAGAGAAAAGGUGAGGUCCGGGAACCCUGCCGAUGUAAAUGGAUGAGUGUCUUUAUUUGGGCGUAAAAAAAGAAAGAAGCUGUUUGUCUCCCUCGCUCUGUAAUAACGGAUCGCUGUAACUGCCGCCAUUCUUCACUGUCACUCCCUUUUCUCUCCAUCCCGCUCACUUUUCUCCUGCUCUCUCUGCCCUUUUCGAUUUUUCCUCUGCUGCCUUUUCUUCCUCUCUCUAUUGACUGAGCAUUCAGAACUGCUGCAGGCCACUUUUCUCCAGGACUUUCCAAACCUGCUGCCCCCCCAACCGCGCCGCUCCUGCAAAAUACUCCAAAAAAUGAAAGUAAUUUUAUUCUUAUUCAGGCGUCGUGGAAAAUACAAACAUUGGAACAGUCCAGACAGAAGUGAAAGGGUUAAAAUGACAGCAGGAAACUUUUAAUGAAACAUCGGCAUCAUCCAACGAGUGAAUCCCAACGAUAAAAACUCACACGUCCUUUCAACACCACAAAAAGUUUUUAGAAUUUUACCAGAACAAAAUAAAAUCACAUCAUCUACAAAAAACACUGAGAUGAAUUUAAAGAGUUCGGGACCAAUCAGAGAUCCUCAGAUCCUUCCUGAAAUCUGGCGCUGAAUCUGGACGCUUUGUUUUCCAUCGACCCCGUAAGGUUGGAAAUUUCAGGACUCAGAGGGACUUUAAACGACCAACAUUUCUGAUUUAUAAAGUAGAAAACUCUUCAGUCGUACUCCUCAUAUCCUGUAUUUACCUGGGAAUGUUCUUAAAGGGACAGUUCAGUGUUUUUGAGUUAGUCGGUGUUAACUCCUGGCUGGCUCGCCAAAACAUAUACUCAGUAAAACAUGAGACAGGAUGAGAUCUGAAGAACAGUCUGGGUGUUUUUUAUUGUACAGAUGUAAAAAUCAGUUCAGAUGACAAACAGAGUCUCACUGAACCCGAGGAAGGCCUACCAGGCUCUCCUCCUACUCCCUUUUAUUCUGUGUCUCUGAGUUUUCCGUCAUCAUGGGUUCAUCACAUCUAUCCUCCAGGAGAACUCAACACUUUGUUGAGAUUAGUCUGAACUUUCCUGGAGAUUAGCUCUAAAUGUUUUUGGCAGACAGUUUCGCUCCUUUGCUCACCACCUCUCAGUUCUGAGUCUAAGUUGUAACCCCUUAAUAAAAGAUAAUCCCUCUAUGUUUCUUGACCUAAAUGUACGGAAAGAUUCGACUUCAUCAUCGGUCAGCUCAGCCUGUUUGAUGAGAAACUGCAGAAAGAACCGCCGUGUAAGCGAGGCCGCAGUUUUCAGCAGAAACAGUCGAGUUAUCUACGAAGGUUAUCUCAGAGAGUGUGUUUGUUUUAGCGGAGUGUGGAGACUCGUGGACACCUCUGUGUGUUAUAAACACCUGGAUCUCCUGGUUAAUCCUCUCACUUCACUUUUCCUCUUUUGUAAACGGUGAAGUCAGACUCUCUGAUCAGACUCAUUUUCAUGGAGUUGAGGAAAAACCUGCUCAUGUAACCAUAGCGACUGUUCAGUGUGAAACAGAAACGCUCCUCUCUGCAGCAGGUUCCCUCUCUGUAAUAACACGUGUAAUAACACCUCCUCCCUCUGCGUCUUUGACCUCCUGCUGACUUUCUGUCUUUCCAUGAAUUUUCCUCUCAGCUCCUGACGCUGCUCCGCUCACCUUCAUCCUCAAUGUCACUCCAUCCAUCCAUCUACCUCUCCUCCCCCUGCCCUCCUCUCUCUCUCUCUCUCUCUCUCCCAUUUGCCGCUCCUCCACCUGUCAAACUCCAAUCUCCAUCACCAGCAGCACCUGUUUUUGUCUUUUUAAUUCCCCGCUAAAACAGACCCUGACAGGUUGAUUGUGCACUCGGUGAUUUCUGCACAGCAGCUGCUGCGUUUAGUUGAAUGACACGCGGCUGGCGUCUGAAAAAAAGUUAAUGUUGGGUUGUGAGAUUGUUGGGUUUGAUGAGAGAGUCGCUCCACGGCUGCCUCCGUCUCUCGGCUCGAGGAGUUUUCUCUCCACACGCUGACAGCCGCAGAAAGGAGAUGAAUGGGUUGAAAAUGGGAUGUUCAGCCUGUUUUCUCAGAUAUUCUUAACGGGGCUUAUGUAAGGGGCGGAGUUAAAGGGCGCCCUGCUAAAUGUUGCCUUCCUGCUCUCUGUUUUUGUUUCAGGAGAGAACAUCGUGUCAAAACAAGCGCCGGAAACAUUAAACUGUCAGAUUUUGGCGUCGAGUUUGACGCUCUGGGAGGAAUGAAGAGCGGGAGAUAGCGAGGCAUGUGGCCAAAUGAGCGGGAAUCAUUCACUUCCUCCCACACCGACUUCGCCGUGUGAUCCUGGAAGAAAUACAACAACAACAACAACAACACUGGAU